rnacentral:lncRNA from 1 species
ACUUUUGUUGUUUUAUAAACCUAAUCCCAGAAUUAACCUCAAAAGCCGGCAACUCUUGAGGCAAUCCCAGGGACUUAUAUCCCAACCCAAACCCAACCCCAACCCCGAUGUGGGACAAAUGUACCUAUAGGGGGGACCUGCUGCUAAGUGGGAUACUACCACCCAAUACCCUUUCAACCCUGAGGCAAUUUGUCUUUUUUCAACAGCCUGAAUCAGACUUUUGUUGUUUUAUAAACCUAAUCCCAGAAUUAACCUCAAAAGCCGGCAACUCUUGAGGCAAUCCCAGGGACUGACGUUUCUUGAUACUUGAUAGGGGAAUUUUCCAGAAGCUAUUGUAUUGUGCAUGCUUUGACAAUGCUAUUCCUUUCUUGUGCUUGUCCUUGGAAGUUGAUAGCAUAAAAGUGGACAAAGCAUUAAUCCUCUAGUCAUCAAGUGCAUCACCAGUUUUGUGCAAUAUGAACAAGAUAAGAGAUAUG